AUGCCUCUGUACAUCCCUCACGCCAGCAGGUUCCUCCUUCUUCCGUCCUGCUGCUCCCCUCUGGCGGCGCCGCCCUUCCCUUCCUCCAUCUCCGCCCCUCCAGCAAGCCCCUCCUCUUCCCUGCCUCGCCGGCUUCAUUCUCUGCCGCUCUCUUCAUUGGCUGUCACUCCAGGUCAUGGAGGAGGAUCUGCCACUGGAUCCGCGCACUUGAGGGUGAGGAGGAUGGAGGUGAAGGAAGCAGCAGCAAGGAUGGUGGCAGGUGAUGGGUCAGGGGCCACCAAAGGAGGGGGGAGGGGGCGACGUCGCGCUUCUCGCCACCUCCACGUCCUCGUCGCCCAGUAG
rnacentral:rRNA from 1 species